rnacentral:rRNA from 1 species
AUUGAACGCUGGCGGCAGGCCUAACACAUGCAAGUCGAGCGGAUGAAGGGAGCUUGCUUCUGGUUUCAGCGUCGGACGGGUGAGUAAUGCCUAGGAAUCUGCCUCGUAGUGGGGUAUAACGUCCGGAAACGGGCGCUAAUACCACCUGCGUCCUGCGGGAGCUGGUGGGGGAGGUUCGGACCUCACGCUAUCAGGUGAGCCUAGGUCGGAUUAGCUAGUUGGUGGGUUAAGGGCCUACUAAGGCGACCAUCCGUAACUGGUCUGAGAGAAUGAUAAGUCACACUGGAACUGAGACACGGUCAAGACGCCUACGGGAGGCAGCAGUGGGGAAUAUGGGACAAUGGGCGAGAGAAUGAUCCAGUCAUGCGGAGUGUGUGAAGAAGGUCUUCGGAGUGUAAAGAACGUUAAGGGGGGAGGAAGGGCAGUAAGUUAAUACCUUGCUGGAGUGACGUUACCAACAGAAGAAGCACCGGCUAACUUCGUG